rnacentral:rRNA from 1 species
ACCUACGGGGGGCAGCAGUGAGGAAUAUUGGUCAAUGGGCGGGAGCCUGAACCAGCCAAGCCGCGUGAAGGAAGAAGGCGCCAGGCGUCGUAAACUUCUUUUGUCGGGGAACAAAGGGCGCCACGCGUGGCGUUGUGAGUGUACCCGAAGAAAAAGCAUCGGCUAACUCCGUGCCAGCAGCCGCGGUAAUACGGAGGAUGCGAGCGUUAUCCGGAUUUAUUGGGUUUAAAGGGUGCGUAGACGGGACAGCAAGUUAGUUGUGAAAGCCCUCGGCUUAACUGAGGAACUGCAACUAAAACUAUUGU